rnacentral:rRNA from 1 species
CCGUCGUCAGCUCGUGCCGUGAGUGUUGGUUAAGUCCCGCAACGAGCGCAACCCUUGUCCUAUGUUAAAUUCUCAUGGGAUACUGCCUUGUAUAGCAAGGAGGAAGGAAAGGAUGACGUCAAGUCAGCAUGGCCUUUAUGUCCUGGGCUACACACACGCUACAAUGGGUGAUACAGAGGGUUGCCAAGGAGCGAUCCGGGAGCUAAUCCUUCAAAAUCAUCCUCAGUUCGGAUUGCAGGCUGAAAUCGCCUGCAUGAAGUCGGAGUUGCUAGUAACCGCAGGUCAGCUAUACUCGCGGUCGAAUACGUUCCCGGGCCUU